GAGUUUGAUCCUGGCUCAGAACGAACGCUGGCGGCGUGGAUAAGACAUGCAAGUCGAACGAGAUUUUUUCCUGUAGCAAUACAGGGAAAAGUCUAGUGGCGAACGGGUGCGUAACACGUGGGCAAUCUGCCUUAAAGUGGGGGAUAGCUCGGCGAAAGCCGAAUUAAUACCGCAUGUGAUCAGGGGAGACAUCUUCCCGAAAUCAAAAGUGGCGCAAGCUACUGCUUUUUGAGGAGCCCGCGGCCUAUCAGCUAGUUGGUGAGGUAACGGCUCACCAAGGCUUUGACGGGUAGCUGGUCUGAGAGGACGACCAGUCACACUGGAACUGAGACACGGUCCAGACACCUACGGGUGGCAGCAGUCGAGAAUUUUUCUCAAUGGGGGAAACCCUGAAGGAGCGACGCCGCGUGGAGGAUGAAGGUCUUCGGGUUGUAAACUCCUGUCAUUUGGGAACAAGUGCCGGUACGUAACUGCUAUCGGCUUGAUAGUACCAGAAGAGGAAGGGACGGCUAACUCUGUGCCAGCAGCCGCGGUAAUACAGAGGUCUCAAGCGUUGUUCGGAUUCAUUGGGCGUAAAGGGUGUGUAGGUGGCGCCGUAAGUCGGGUGUGAAAUUUCGGAGCUUAACUCCGAAACUGCAUUCGAUACUGCGGUGCUUGAGGACUGGAGAGGAGACUGGAAUUCAUGGUGUAGCAGUGAAAUGCGUAGAGAUCAUGAGGAAGACCAGUGGCGAAGGCGGGCCUCUGGACAGUUCCUGACACUGAGACACGAAGGCCAGGGGAGCAAACGGGAUUAGAUACCCCGGUAGUCCUGGCAGUAAACGGUGCACGUUUGGUGUGGGAGGAUUCGACCCCUUCUGCGCCGGAGCUAACGCGUUAAACGUGCCGCCUGGGGAGUACGGUCGCAAGAUUAAAACUCAAAGAAAUUGACGGGGGCCCGCACAAGCGGUGGAGUAUGUGGCUUAAUUCGAUGCAACGCGAAGAACCUUACCUGGCCUUGACAUCCCGGUCGCGGGAUCCAGAGACGGAUCCUUUCAGUUCGGCUGGACCGGUGACAGGUGCUGCAUGGCUGUCGUCAGCUCGUGCCGUGAGGUGUUGGGUUAAGUCCCGCAACGAGCGCAACCCCUGCACGUAGUUGCCACUCCGCAAGGAGGGAACUCUACGUGGACUGCUCCGGAUAACGGAGAGGAAGGUGGGGGUGACGUCAAGUCCGCAUGGUCUUUAUGUCCAGGGCUACACACGUGUUACAAUGCAGGGUACAAACCGUUGCCAACCCGCGAGGGGGAGCUAAUCGGAAAAAACUCUGCUCAGUUCGGAUUGCAGUCUGCAACUCGACUGCAUGAAGCCGGAAUCGCUAGUAAUGGCGUAUCAAUGACCCGAUCGG
rnacentral:rRNA from 1 species